rnacentral:lncRNA from 1 species
GGGACUCGAGACCCUGCUCCACCCUGCUGGCUCUCGCUCGGCCCCAUUACCUGGCAAGCCCCGGCAUCCUUGACCCACGUCCGUGGCGCUGCCUGGGUAGGAACGCGCCUGAAGACCGCGCAGGACACUACCACUGGGCAUCCUGGGUUUGAUGCAGACAUCCUGCACUACAUUCCAGAUCUGAUGAGGCAUGGCUGCCCCAGGAUUACUGGGCUCGGACGGGAGCAGUGGUAGGAAGGAUCCUAUAUAAGUCAUGUGAGACAUAGAAUGUUCAGAUCAACUGAAGCUGAAACAAGCCUUUGGCAUCAUAUAUAACCCAGAAAGGGACAAAGCUGAUCCCAGAGGACUCAAGGCUAUGGGUGAUGUCGAAGGUGCGGAAGAAUCAAGUUGGAAAGACCAGCAGGAGACAGACAGAGUAAGGUUCCUUGAAUGCUUGGUUUAUGUGCCUGGCUGGAGGAGACACCCAUGGCCUUGCAGAGGGAGCGUUCUGGUGGGAAAGCAGACACAACCCACCCUAGGCCCGUGGUUUCCCUGCAAGAAGCCCAGUGGCUUUCUGGAGGACACUUUUCCUGGAGGAAGUGACUCAAGAGCAGCAUAAGCCAGGCUCUAUGGAAUGUUGGGUGAGCUGCUUGAGGAACUCCAAGGCCUGUCCCACAGUCUUCCAGCCUCCGACUCUCCGGCCCUCAGCGAGGAAGUCCCACUGGUUUUUUUGGUUGGUUUUUUUUUUUUUUUUUAAGGUUUUUUGGUUUUUUUUUUUUUUUCUCAUUCCUGUCUUGGGAGCUUUCCCCAACCAGGAGAGUGAAGAUGGGCGGAGCUGUCACACCAACUGUUAGCCUGCCUUGGCUGAGAGGAGAGGAGGCGAGGAGGGAGCGACCACCCAGCUUUAGUCGUUUUAAAACAGCUCCUGACCCUAGAAGAAGGGAAAUGGAGAUGAAGACCCAAUUGACUUGGUAUGAAGUUUAAAUGCCCCUUCAAGACUUGGGGGUCGAGGACGGUGAGAUUGGCUCAGUGGAUAGAUUCACUUGCCUCUAAGCCUGACAACCUAAGUUAAUAUCCUCUACCCACAUAUGGAAGGAAAAAAAUGAUUUCCAAAAGUUGUCCUCUGACCUCCACACAGAGACCAUGGCCUGUGCACCACCCCCCGAAAAUGUAAUAUAUUUUUUAAAAAGACAUGGGGACUUCCAUUCAGUGUCUCCCAAUGUUUGGGGAUUUCCUUUCCUUAUUUCCUUACUCCCUGUCGGUGCCCUAGAGGAGACAGAGAGAGUCUAACUACGGAGAGGUCAUUCUCUAGGUUGGUUGGUGGAAUAUUCAGGACUCCUGGGAAGGCUCCAACUGGUCCCUGAGAGUCCCAGUUUCCUCUAUCACACAGCAGAAGGUGGGGAAUGGCUGCCGUGGUUGGAAGAGCGCGUUGGUGCUGAGGGGGCCAGCUGGUUGAGAAGCAGGUGGAGAGGGAAAGGACCCUGCUUAAGAGGGGGCUGGGUGGGAAGGCUGGGUAAUUUAUGAUAUCAUUGUUCCCGCCCCUCUUCCCAGCCCCCUGCCACUUUACUGUUGCUAGGAGAUCCUGGCUGGCCCUGUCAAAUGGAAAACUCCUCCUCAGCCAGAGUAGGCCCUACCCUGAGUCACAACAGACCCUAAACACACCAGUGUCUCCUAUGAAUCCAUUCAGGUUCAGCCAGCUUGGGCGUGGGACUACCUGACCGAGCAAGUGCUUGUGUGUGUGUGUGUGUGUGUGUGUGUGUGUGUGUGUGUGUGUGUGUGUGUGUGUGAUAUGGAGGGAGCCAGGAGAUAGACUUUGAGGAUGGAGGAGCACUCUGAGGGCCUGCAGGUGACCCUGGGAACCAAGCCUGGGAAGAACCUAAGUUAAUAAUGCAAUCUUUAUCUUAGAGAGAGUGAUCUUUCAGCAGACUGAUCGAACACACAGGCUUCUCAGCCCACUCCCUCCAGUCAAGGUUAAGGCCUGGCAAAGGUGGAGGAAGAGAAGCUGAGGAGAAAAAGGCGAGGAGAGCCUAGGCACAGGAAGGUGACCGUGAGUAGAGUUGGGUGGUCCAGGGAUGUGGCUGGGAUCCCCUCUUCCUUCUGGAGUUCUCUUAGACAGUAAGGCUGAAGAGAAGCUUGGUACAGGAACUUCGAAGGUUUCUCAAGCUGCAGGUCAUGGCUACCUGUGUUUCUUAGCACUGGCCUUGACUUGGCUACCACAGGCUUUUGUCUCAGUUUAUCUGCCCUGGCUGAAACCCAAAUGAUCCUGUCUCCAGCUCCAUAAGAGCAAUCAGAGGUCCCCCAAAAUCUCUGUCUGCUCCCUAGAGUCAUGGGCUGCUUCUUGUUCUGUGCUCCACACAGGCUUCCCUCCCUCCCAGUGCUGAUUUCCUGUGGACCAGAUUCCAGCACAGUGGAGGGCCAGAGCUCAGGGAACAGACCCAGCAGCACAGCAAGUCUCCAAGGAAAGCUCUAGCAGUCUCCAGGGGCUGAAGGCAGGACUGGGGAAGCGGCUAGCCAGGCUGCAGAAGGCAAAUGCUCCCAGACGGCUGUCCAGCACGCAUCCGCCUUCCUAGCCAAGUUUCCUGGGCUCCUGCCACAGAUCUAAGCCUCAUCCUGACAUCCUGCCCUCUGUGCUCUGGGAUGGCCCAGGGGAGAUGCUUAGCCUUGGCUCCUUGUCUGCUGGUGGAGGGGACACACACCCUUUCUGGACCACAGACCAAAAAGAAGACCUGACGUCAUCCUGAGCACCCCCGCCAUGCAGAGUGUGUUCGCAGACUGCCAACGGGCUGGCUCCGGCCAGCAGAAGUGAACAGAGGUGGAGGUUCAGCCUGACAGCUUCUCCCCAAAGCCAUGGAGAGAAAACCUUACCACCCCCACCGCCCAGCUACUUCCAGCAAGUUGUCCAGCCUGACCCCUCUAUUUCCCCUGUUGUCUCUUAUCUGGGUCCCUGAGACCCACCCCAUCUCCAAUAAAGAACAUUGCAUACUGUGCA